AAUCUGGGGCCUUCGGCCCCCGAGUUGUAAUUUGGAGAGGCAUCUUCGGAGGGGAGCGCCGGCCCAUGUUCCUUGGAACAGGACGUCGCAGAGGGUGAGAAUCCCGUGCCAGGCCGGCAGCCUCCCCUCGAGUGAAGGGCCUUCGACGAGUCGAGUUGUUUGGGAAUGCAGCUCCAAGUGGGUGGUAUAUUUCAUCUAAAGCUAAAUACCGGCGGGAGACCGAUAGCGCACAAGUAGAGUGAUCGAAAGAUGAAAAGCACUUUGAAAAUAGAGUCAAAAAGUACGUGAAAUUGUUGAAAGGGAAGCGCUUGAGACCAGACUCAGACCCGAGCAAACACCGCGCCCCUCGGGGCCGUGCAAUUGCCAGGGGCUGGGCCAGCAUCAGUUGGCGUGGCGGGACAAAGGCGCGGGCAAUGUGGCUCCCCUCGGGGAGUGUUAUUAGGCCCACGCUCAAUGCCGCCGACGUCGACUGAGGACCGCGCCUCGGCUAGGAUGCUGGCUUAAUGGCCUUCAGCGACCCGUCUUGAAACACGGACCAAGGAGUCUAACAUCUAUGCGAGUGUUUGGGCGUCAAACCCUUGCGCGUAAUGAAAGUGAGCGGAGGUGGGAACCCCUCGCGGGGCGCACCAUCGACCGAUCCUGAUGUCUUCGGAUGGAUUUGAGUA
rnacentral:rRNA from 1 species